rnacentral:misc_RNA from 1 species
UGGCUGGUCGCGUAGAUCACUUCAAA